GAUGAACGCUGGCGGCGUGCCUAAUACAUGCAAGUCGAGCGAACGGACGAGAAGCUUGCUUCUCUGAUGUUAGCGGCGGACGGGUGAGUAACACGUGGAUAACCUACCUAUAAGACUGGGAUAACUUCGGGAAACCGGAGCUAAUACCGGAUAAUAUUUUGAACCGCAUGGUUCAAAAGUGAAAGACGGUCUUGCUGUCACUUAUAGAUGGAUCCGCGCUGCAUUAGCUAGUUGGUAAGGUAACGGCUUACCAAGGCAACGAUGCAUAGCCGACCUGAGAGGGUGAUCGGCCACACUGGAACUGGAACACGGUCCAGACUCCUACGAGAGGCAGCAGUAGGGAAUCGUCCGCAAUGGGCGAGAGCCUGACGGAGCAACGCCGCGUGAGUGAUGAAGGUCUUCGGAUCGUAAAACUCUGUUAUUAGGGAAGAACAUAUGUGUAAGUAACUGUGCACAUCUUGACGGUACCUAAUCAGAAAGCCACGGCUAACUACGUG
rnacentral:rRNA from 1 species